GAGUUGCAGGUGGCCUUAUCCUCCUCCCAAGGGCGCCUGUGGGAAUGACAGCACUCCUCCUCCCAGCUGUCAUUCGGUUAUUUUCGAAAAGCCUGUCGCACCUCCUCCCGCGGCAGGCUUUUUCG
rnacentral:sRNA from 1 species